CAAGUCGAACGCCGUAGCAAUACGGAGUGGCAGACGGGUGAGUAACACGUGGGAACGUACCCUUCGGUUCGGAAUAACUCGGGGAAACUCGAGCUAAUACCGGAUACGUCCGAGAGGAGAAAGAUUUAUUGCCGAAGGAUCGGCCCGCGUCUGAUUAGCUUGUUGGUGAGGUAACGGCUCACCAAGGCGACGAUCAGUAGCUGGUCUGAGAGGAUGAUCAGCCACAUUGGGACUGAGACACGGCCCAAACUCCUACGGGAGGCAGCAGUGGGGAAUAUUGGACAAUGGGCGAAAGCCUGAUCCAGCCAUGCCGCGUGAGUGAUGAAGGCCUUAGGGUUGUAAAGCUCUUUUACCUGGGAAGAUAAUGACGGUACCAGGAGAAUAAGCCCCGGCUAACUUCGUGCCAGCAGCCGCGGUAAUACGAAGGGGGCUAGCGUUGUUCGGAUUUACUGGGCGUAAAGCGCACGUAGGCGGAUCUUUAAGUCAGAGGUGAAAGCCUGGAGCUCAACUCCAGAACUGCCUUUGAUACUGGGGAUCUCGAGUCCGGGAGAGGUGAGUGGAACUGCGAGUGUAGAGGUGAAAUUCGUAGAUAUUCGCAAGAACACCAGUGGCGAAGGCGGCUCACUGGCCCGGUACUGACGCUGAGGUGCGAAAGCGUGGGGAGCAAACAGGAUUAGAUACCCUGGUAGUCCACGCCGUAAACGAUGGAUGCCAGCCGUUGGACAGCUUGCUGUUCAGUGGCGCAGUUAACGCUUUAAGCAUCCCGCCUGGGGAGUACGGUCGCAAGAUUAAAACUCAAAGGAAUUGACGG
rnacentral:rRNA from 1 species